UGUAAGCGUAUACCAAAGUUGUUGCAGUUAAAACGCUCGUAGUCGGAAUUUGGCAGUUCCGGAAGUGUGCACGUCGUGUGCGCAAUUUGCGGGGACUGCUUUUGUGGUCUUGCGUAGGAUGAGGCACUUUCAUUAGUGAACGUCCUCACGCAACCACUCUUUACUGUGAGAAAAUCAGAGUGCUCAAAGCAGGCAUUUGCCGUGAAUGUAUUAGCAUGGAAUAAUAGAAUAGGACUCGGUUCUAUUUUGUUGGUUUGUUGGGACUGAGUAAUGAUUAAGAGGGACAGUUGGGGGCAUUUGUAUUCCGGCGCUAGAGGUGAAAUUCUUAGAUUGCCGGAAGACAAACUGCUGCGAAAGCGUCUGCCAAGGAUGUUUUCAUUGA
rnacentral:rRNA from 1 species